rnacentral:rRNA from 1 species
GAUGAACGCUGGCGGCGUGCCUAAUACAUGCAAGUCGAGCGAACAGAUGAGGAGCUUGCUCCUCUGACGUUAGCGGCGGACGGGUGAGUAACACGUGGAUAACCUACCUAUAAGACUGGGAUAACUUCGGGAAACCGGAGCUAAUACCGGAUAAUAUAUUGAACCGCAUGGUUCAAUAGUGAAAGACGGUUUUGCUGUCACUUAUAGAUGGAUCCGCGCCGCAUUAGCUAGUUGGUAAGGUAACGGCUUACCAAGGCAACGAUGCGUAGCCGACCUGAGAGGGUGAUCGGCCACACUGGAACUGAGACACGGUCCAGACUCCUACGGGAGGCAGCAGUAGAGAAUCUUCCGCAAUGGGCGAAAGCCUGACGGAGCAACGCCGCGUGAGUGAUGAAGGUCUUCGGAUCGUAAAACUCUGUUAUUAGGGAAGAACAAAUGUGUAAGUAACUAUGCAUGUCUUGACGGUACCUAAUCAGAAAGCCACGGCUAACUACGUG